rnacentral:misc_RNA from 1 species
GGCAGAUAAUUUAGACAUAUCAGAUGGAUCAUGGUGGCUGACUUCACCAACUUUGACGUCUUGCAAGCUUACAACUGAACUACUUAGUGAACCAGCAAAUUGUUUAAUACAAACCCCCAUGCAACAAAGAAGCAUCUCUCGAGUCUUCGAUUGCCUAGUGACCUUGUACAAGGAAACCACCUUGUUCCAAAACUGGAGCACGGACUCAAUAUCCAUAUCACCAAAAAAUUUAGGAUAAUAUUCUUCUCCAUUAUUCUGAUAUUCCUGCAAACUCCAGCUGUAGAUAAUCUUCAGAAUGUAGUUCAAACAUUUAUGGUUAUUGUCCAAAGUUAAAAGUUUCACCAUAGUGGUCUGGAGAUCCAUGCUGGUCAAGCAACUUCUCUUUAUCUCACUAUAUUCUGGUGUCUUGAGAAAUAAAAGAAACCACUUCAAUGUUGCAAUCCGAACUUCAUAUGAAGUGUCAGAGAAAGAACGUAUUAGCCUUUCCUUGAAUCUGC